AGGGCGGGGGGGGUAGAGGCAAUGUUGGAGGGGUGGGGUCUCCAUGCACACCCCGGAAGAGAAGGAGGCCUGCAAAGGAGGAGGGGAAAGAGCUGUUCCCUGAAUUGAAGUGCAUAGUGGCAACAGCUGAGAGAGUCCCAGAAGUGGCCCAGUUUACGCCUCCUCCUCCUCCUCUGUCCUUUCCAGUGCCAACGCAAUGGCCUCCGAGCCCCCCUCUGAACGGCCUCUUCUUACAGGUGGAGUGGAAAGAGGAGCCAGGCAGCUUCCUCAGGCCCUCUUGACCUUUGAGGAGGUGGCUGUGUUUUUCACGGAGGAGGAGU